CGGAACGCUUCUUUCAGCAGCAACAGUUAGUCAGCCACCUCGGUAGCUUGCUAGCCAAAAUGCUAACAAAUAAAGAUCUUUAGACGCUUUAGUCUAUAUUAGCCACUGUGUUUUAAACCCUCGUCUGUCGUCUAGUUAGUUAUCCUAUUUCAUUUCAUAUUUACGGUGUUGUUGUUAUUAUUCAGCUAGCGGGCUGGUUAAGUUAGCAUUAGCCUAGCAUCUCCUAACAUCUCCGACCAUGAGUUCACUAAGCUACUCUCAUCCUGAAGAGGUCUGCUGGACGGAGAAAGAAGCUCUCGUCAAAGAGGAGGAGGAAGAUAAGUAUGUUACAAUACAAAAACAAGUAGAGGGUGAGGUUGUUACAGGGAAAGAAGAAGAGAAAGACGUCACAGUGAAAGAAGAGGAAGAGGCAUUCAGAGUGAAAGAGGACGAUGUUACAGUAAAAGAAGAGGAGGAAGAGAAAGAGGCGGAUGGGGAGAUUACGCUCACAUCGGAAGAGGCAGAAGAGGAGGUAACUGGAUAUCUGGGCCCGAUUUCCCAAACGCAUCUUAAGGCAUCCAAUGGUUCUAACGGUGAAGUUAGCCAAUAGAUGGUUUUGAGAAACCGUUCCCUGAUUAAAGAGUACAGAGACGGGACUGAGCUUGGUGGGUGGGCAGCACACUUUGGGAACCUCAUCCGGCUUCAGAAGGUGAACCUGCCACUGAAAACGGGUUCGUGAUCAUCGACAGCGACUUCGAAGAGGAAACAACUGUCCUGGAUGAGGUCCAGUUGGAUGUGCCAUUGGAUGAUGUACCAGA